CUACGGGCGGCAGCAGUGGGGAAUAUUGCACAAUGGAGGAAACUCUGAUGCAGCAACGCCGCGUGGAGGAUGACACUUUUCGGAGCGUAAACUCCUUUUAUAUAGGAAGAAGAUGACGGUACUAUAUGAAUAAGCGCCGGCUAACUCUGUGCCAGCAGCCGCGGUAAUACGGAGGGCGCAAGCGUUACUCGGAAUCACUGGGCGUAAAGAGCGUGUAGGCGGAUUAAAAAGUCAGAAGUGAAAUCCUAUAGCUUAACUAUAGAACUGCUUCUGAAACUCUUAAUCUAGAAUGUGGGAGAGGUAGAUGGAAUUUCUGGUGUAGGGGUAAAAUCCGUAGAGAUCAAAAGGAAUACCGAUUGCGAAGGCGAUCUACUAGAACAUUAUUGACGCUGAGACGCGAAAGCGUGGGGAGCAAACAGGAUUAGAUACCCCCGUAGUC
rnacentral:rRNA from 1 species